rnacentral:rRNA from 14 species
AGUUACGACCAUAUCAACUUGAAAGCACCACACCCCGUCAGAUCUGUGAAGUUAAGCAAGUUAGAGCUUCGUUAGUAGUUUGGUGGGGGACCACAAGCGAAUACGAAGUGCCGUAGCUU